rnacentral:rRNA from 1 species
UACGGAGGGUGCAAGCGUUAUCCGGAUUUACUGGGUUUAAAGGGUGCGUAGGUGGGUAAGUAAGUCAGUGGUGAAAUCUCCGAGCUUAACUCGGAAACUGCCAUUGAUACUAUUUAUCUUGAAUAUCCUGGAGGUGAGCGGAAUAUGUCAUGUAGCGGUGAAAUGCUUAGAUAUGACAUAGAACACCAAUUGCGAAGGCAGCUCACUACGGGAUUAUUGACACUGAGGCACGAAAGCGUGGGGAUCAAACAGG